rnacentral:rRNA from 1 species
AACGAACGCUGGCGGCAUGCCUAACACAUGCAAGUCGAACGAGACCUUCGGGUCUAGUGGCGCACGGGUGCGUAACGCGUGGGAACCUGCCCUUAGGUUCGGAAUAACGCCCCGAAAGGGGUGCUAAUACCGGAUAAUGUCUUCGGACCAAAGAUUUAUCGCCUUUGGAUGGGCCCGCGUUGGAUUAGCUAGUUGGUAGGGUAAAAGCCUACCAAGGCUACGAUCCAUAGCUGGUCUGAUAGGAUGAUCAGCCACACUGGGACUGAGACACGGCCCAGACUCCUACGGGAGGCAGCAGUGGGGAAUAUUGGACAAUGGGCGAAAGCCUGAUCCAGCAAUGCCGCGUGAGUGAUGAAGGCCUUAGGGUUGUAAAGCUCUUUUACCCGGGAUGAUAAUGACAGUACCGGGAGAAUAAGCUCCGGCUAACUCCGUG